rnacentral:tRNA from 1 species
GCAUCGGUGGUUCAGUGGUAGAAUGCUCGCCUGCCACGCGGGCGGCCAGGGUUCGAUUUCCGGCCGAUGCU